rnacentral:rRNA from 1 species
CCUGGUUGAUCCUGCCAGUAGUCAUAUGCUUGUCUCAAAGAUUAAGCCAUGCAUGUGUAAGCACACACUGUGUUAAAAGUGAAGCCGCGAAUGGCUCAUUACAACAGCCACAGUUUAUUAGAACUUACUCUCAUGGAUAACUGUGGUAAUUCUAGAGCUAAUACACGCACAAAAACUUCAACUGAAUUGGUUGAAGUGCUUUUAUUAGAACAAAAACCGAACGGCGUUUGAUGAAUGUUGAACGUCGAAACUGUUUGGUGAAUCUGAAUAACUAUUUCUGAUCGCAUGGUCUAGCACCGGCGACAUCACUUUCAAGUGUCUGCCUUAUCAACCUUCGAUGGUAGUCUAUGCGACUACCAUGGUGAUAACGGGUAACGGAGAAUCAGGGUUCGACUCCGGAGAGGGAGCCUGAGAAACGGCUACCACAUCCAAGGAAGGCAGCAGGCGCGCAAAUUACCCACUCCCAGCUUGGGGAGGUAGUGACGAAAAAUAACGAGACGAUUCUCGUUUGAGAAACGUUAUCGAAAUGAGUACGCUUUCCACACGCUAACGAGUAGCAAUUGGAGGGCAAGUCUGGUGCCAGCAGCCGCGGUAAUUCCAGCUCCAAUAGCGUAUAUUAAAGUUGCUGCGGUUAAAACGCUCGUAGUUGAAUUGUGGUCUUAGACAACAGUCCCCCUACAUAGGUGUGGCACGGUUGCUCGAGAUCUUCAUUCGUGGUUGCUGUUGUUGCUCUUGAUUGAGUGUCAAUGGUGCCUCGAGAUUUUACUUUGAAAAAAUUAGAGUGCUCAAAGCAGGUUGUGAUGCCUGAAUAAUGGUGCAUGGAAUAAUAGAAUACGAUCUCGGUUCUAUUUUGUUGGUUUUCGAACUGGAGAUAAUGAUUGAAAGGAACAGGCGGGGGCAUUCGUAUUGCUGCGUUAGAGGUGAAAUUCUUGGAUCGCAGCAAGAUGAACAAUUGCGAAAGCAUUUGCCAAGAAUGUUUUCAUUAAUCAAGAACGAAAGUUAGAGGUUCGAAGGCGAUCAGAUACCGCCCUAGUUCUAACGGUAAACUAUGCCAACCAGCGAUUCGCCGAAGUUCAUUUAAGACUCGGCGAGCAGCUUCCGGGAAACCAAAGUGUUUCGGUUCCGGGGGAGGUAUGGUUGCAAAGCUGAAACUUAAAGGAAUUGACGGAAGGGCACCACCAGGAGUGGAGCCUGCGGCUUAAUUUGACUCAACACGGGAAAACUCACCCGG